AUUGAACGCUGGCGGCAGGCUUAACACAUGCAAGUCGAGCGGGGUGAUGGUGCUUGCACUAUCACUUAGCGGCGGACGGGUGAGUAAUGCUUAGGAAUCUGCCUAUUAGUGGGGGACAACAUCUCGAAAGGGAUGCUAAUACCGCAUACGUCCUACGGGAGAAAGCAGGGGAUCACUUGUGACCUUGCGCUAAUAGAUGAGCCUAAGUCGGAUUAGCUAGUUGGUGGGGUAAAGGCCUACCAAGGCGACGAUCUGUAGCGGGUCUGAGAGGAUGAUCCGCCACACUGGGACUGCGACACGGCCCAGACUCCUGCGGGAGGCAGCAGUGGGGAAUAUUGGACAAUGGGGGAACCCUGAUCCAGCCAUGCCGCGUGUGUGAAGAAGGCCUUAUGGUUGUAAAGCACUUUAAGCGAGGAGGAGGCUCUUUUGGUUAAUACCCAAGAUGAGUGGACGUUACUCGCAGAAUAAGCACCGGCUAACUCUGUGCCAGCCGCCGCCGCGG
rnacentral:rRNA from 1 species